rnacentral:rRNA from 1 species
UGACCACAAGUUCAACGGCCGCGGUAUUUUGACCGUGCAAAGGUAGCGCAAUCACUUGUCUUUUAAAUAGAGACCUGUAUGAAUGGCUAAACGAGGGCUUAACUGUCUCCCUUUUCAGGUCAGUGAAAUUGAUCUACCCGUGCAGAAGCGGGUAUAACAAUACAAGACGAGAAGACCCUUUGGAGCUUAAGGUACAAAACUCAACCACGUCAAGCAACUUAAUAAAAAAUAAAAACUUUGUGAAACAUGAGAUUUUACCUUCGGUUGGGGCGACCGCGGAGGAAAAAAAAGCCUCCAAGUGGACCGGGACAAACUCCUAAAACCAAGAGAAACAUCUCUAAGCCACAGAACAUCUGACCAAACAUGAUCCGGCCACCAGGACCGAUCAACGAACCAAGUUACCCUAGGGAUAACAGCGCAAUCCCCUCCCAGAGUCCAUAUCGACGAGGGGGUUUACGACCUCGAUGUUGGAUCAGGACAUCCUAAUGGUGCAGCCGCUAUUAAGGGUUCGUUUGUUCAACGAUUAAAGUCCUACGUGAUC